CAGUGAGGUAGAGGUUGCGCGGAUGAUGAGUCACUCAUGGGAGAGAUGGAAUCGAAGAUCAUGAGAAAAAAGGCAUCAGCGCCGAAGUGUAUAGAGAGCUCCAACUUUCUUUAUGCUGGGUCUGCAUUGAAUAAAUGCAGGACUGCCACGUCUUUGAAGCGUGGAGGGCUAUCCGGAGA
rfam:Bacillus pumilus SAFR-032, complete genome.